UACGUAGGGGGCUAGCGUUGUCCGGAAUCAUUGGGCGUAAAGAGCGCGCAGGCGGUCGUUCAAGUCGAGUGUGAAAGCCCCCGGCUCAACUGGGGAGGGUCACUCGAUACUGAUCGACUUGAAGGCAGGAGAGGGAAGCGGAAUUCCCGGUGUAGUGGUGAAAUGCGCAGAUAUCGGGAGGAACACCUAUGGCGAAGGCAGCUCGCUGGGACGUUACUGACGCUGGAGACGCGAAAGCGUGGGGAGCAAACAGGGAUUAAGAAACCCGG
rnacentral:rRNA from 1 species